rnacentral:rRNA from 1 species
GACGAACGCUGGCGGCGUGCUUAACACAUGCAAGUCGAACGGAAAGGCCUCUUUCGGGGGGUACUCGAGUGGCGAACGGGUGAGUAACACGUGAGUAACCUGCCCUUGACUUUGGGAUAACUUCAGGAAACUGGGGCUAAUACCGGAUAGGAGCUCCUGCUGCAUGGUGGGGGUUGGAAAGUUUCGGCGGUUGGGGAUGGACUCGCGGCUUAUCAGCUUGUUGGUGGGGUAGUGGCUACCAAGGCUUUGACGGGUAGCCGGCCUGAGAGGGUGACCGGCCACAUUGGGACUGAGAUACGGCCCAGACUCCUACGGGAGGCAGCAGUGGGGAAUAUUGCACAAUGGGUGGAAGCCUGAUGCAGCAACGCCGUGUGCGGGAUGACGGCCUUCGGGUUGUAAACCGCUUUCGCUCAUGACGAAGCUUUGUGUGACGGUAGUGGGUAAAGAAGCACCGGCUAACUACGUG